UGGCAUUAUGAAGGUCAAAAUACUUAAUUGGCAUGCCGUGGCUUCUUGGACAUGGGAUGCUCAAGAUGAAGCAUGCGGGAUAUGUAGAAUGGCAUUUGAUGGCUGCUGCCCUGAUUGUAAAUUCCCUGGUGAUGACUGCCCAUUGGUUUGGGGUGCAUGCAACCAUUCUUUCCAUCUUCACUGCAUACUGAAGUGGGUGAACUCACAGAACUCACAGACAUCCCAGCCACAUUGCCCCAUGUGUCGCAGAGAGUGGCAAUUUAAAGCAUGAGAAUUGAUGAGUGAGUUCCUGGAAGCAGCUUGUUGUUUACGGUCCAUUAAUGUGCUGGAAAAUAGAGUAUUUUCUGUUAGAUGAAAGUUGGAGACUUCCCUUCUCUAUUUCAUGUUCUUCAGACAACUUGAUAUCCUGUGUACCAGGUGCUGGAACAAGAAAAAAAAUCUGUGUUUGCACACGGUAUUGGAUUCUCCUUUGAGAAUGUAGGUCAUGCUGUUGGUUGGUUGAUCGAUGCACCUAAUAUUCGAAAUAGUUCAUUAUGAGUUCUGUUGCAACCUGGAUUUCUGCAGAUUAUUAGUAGGGCUGUUUUCUCCAACGAAGCAUGGGUGCAUUAGCUUUUUAAAACAGAGCUGGCACUACUGGUGUAUAGGCAACUGCAAAGUUUUAUUACUCAAAUUGAUAUCUUAAUACAGGAAGAAAAGCUUUAUUCUUUUUAGGAUUACUCUUGGAUUGCAGCUGCAAAAUUUGACAAUACAUCUUUUAUCUCUGAUGAUAUGAUUUGAAUACACUUGUGUCAAGCCUAAUUUCACCUUUCAGGCAAUGGUUCCUUUGAAGCAAACUUAAAGGUCGGUCGGGCCGGAGGGCAUGAGCUCAAAGCUGCCACCUUUAUCAACGGGGAAUGUUUAAACCUGCCAAUUAGUGUUCAAACAUCGAACCUGGAAUUUUUCAUUGAUUAGGUGAAGAAUGUGAUCUCAUUAUAGUAAAAUCAAUGUGAUUCUAAAAUUCUCUUUUAAUACAUUUUGCAAUGUAAUGUUUUCAUAAUAAUUUAUAUCAUUCCAUCUGAUUCUCUGACAGAGUACACUGGUUAUCUUCUUCUUAACAUGAAUAUCCAUUAUGUUAACAAUAUUAUGACUGGAAUUAUGGGGACUGGUGGAAAUAGCCUCAGAGUCUCUUUGAUCACCAGUUUCUUGCAAUGGAACCUGUUGUCCUUCUCGGUGUUGGCCUUUUCCUUGGUGCUGACCAUGCCUCCACCUGAGAGCCCUCUCCAUCUCGGGGUGCCUCAUUAGCUCUGCCAUAGUGCCAUCACCAAUUCCAACCUUUUUGAUGAUGUGUGUGGUCCCUGGGCUGAACAUAUAAAUCUUGAAAGUUACGAUGAGACCUUGAGGAUUUGAAAUAGCAUACAUGUUUUGCCAUAUUCUCUUUUUACAUUGGAUCAACGCCUUUAGAUAUAUUUACUUCAUCUAAAAGAAAACAAAAUUCUCUGAACCUUUCUUUGUUAUUUUUGUUACAUUCAAGUCUGACGGUAAUAAUAUUCUACGGCUAACAACUCGCUUAUUUAAUUAGACUUAUGGACCAUGAUAGGUAUGAAAUGCCUAAUAUUUUAUAAUUUUUUUGUUUUUUUUAACUUGAGCUUGAAAGAGCAAAAGGCAAGAAAGCUGAGUAAAACUCAAGGUUGAUCGAAAUGUAUAUCUUAAGCUCACAUUUUGGCCCCACAUUCUGCUCAUUUGCUAGUCCAGUGAUCACUUAUCAAUAUAAAUUUCAACUGAAUAAGAGAUAUAUAUUGAUGUACAACUUGGUCACUUAAUCACAUGCUCUUUCAUAUGUAUAAUGAAUAUUGGAAGACCCUAAGGGUUACUACAACUUCCCACCUUACCACCACAAAG